rnacentral:rRNA from 1 species
AGGCGACGAAGUCGUCGGUGCCUAACCAUGCAAGUCGAACGGCAGCGCGGGUAGCAAUACCUGGCGGCGAGUGGCGGACGGGUGAGUAAUGCAUCGGGAUCUACCCUGACGUGGGGGAUAACCUCGGGAAACCGGGACUAAUACCGCAUACGUCCUACGGGAGAAAGCGGGGGACCUUCGGGCCUCGCGCGGCAGGACGAACCGAUGUGCGAUUAGCUAGUUGGCGGGGUAAUGGCCCACCAAGGCGACGAUCGCUAGCUGGUCUGAGAGGAUGAUCAGCCACACUGGGACUGAGACACGGCCCAGACUCCUACGGGAGGCAGCAGUGGGGAAUAUUGGACAAUGGGCGCAAGCCUGAUCCAGCAAUGCCGCGUGUGUGAAGAAGGCCUUCGGGUUGUAAAGCACUUUUAUCAGGAGCGAAAUACUACCGGCCAAUACCCGGUGGGGCUGACGGUACCUGAGGAAUAAGCACCGGCUAACUUCGUGCCAGCAGCCGCGGUAAUACGAAGGGUGCAAGCGUUAAUCGGAAUUACUGGGCGUAAAGGGUGCGUAGGCGGUUAUUUAAGUCUGCCGUGAAAUCCCCG